GCCCUUGUAAUGUCAAGGAUGUGCCAAGGCCAUUCCUGAGGAUUGGCACACUUGGGUUAGGGUAGAAAUGAGCCCCUGGUGGUGCAGUGGUAAAACUGCUGCCUUGUAACCAGAAGGUUACAAGUUUGAUCCUGACCAAGGGCUCAGGGUUGACUCAGCCUUCCAUCCUUCCGAGGUUGGUAAAAUGAGUACCCAGAAUGUUGGGGGGAAAUAUGCUAAAUCAUUGUAAACCGCUUAGAGAGCUUCCAGCUAUAGAGCGGUAUAUAAAUGUAAGUGCUAUUGCUAUAGAAAGAGGGGAGCGAAAUCUCCUGAGACCUGUGGAAAAGGGAGUUGAUCUUUGGGAGGAAUGAGGGGCCGGAAACAGUGUUCUCUCUAAUUUUUUUCCAGCUAUGUGUAGAAUGAGUUUUAUUCUGGGCAGCAGUAUCAAGGCAAUGUGUAUGCACAUGCAUUCAGAGUGGGGCCUUUCUAAUUCAACCUGAGUGGGAUCUAAAAUUAACUGAGUGGACAUCAACAAAUUUGUGAGCGUGCACACAUGCGCAUGCCUUAGAGGGAACAGUGGUCAGAAAGCAAAACCACCUUGCCCCUAAGAAAUAUGCGCAAUGCAGGAUCUGCUGUCAGGGCACUCAACUCAGAAAUCUUUUUGGCAGAGGUAAUUGCUACUAGGAACACAGUUUUAAACGUCAAUAUAGGUAACUUGCAUGCAGCCAUGGCUUUAAAAGAGCUAAUCAUACGAGCAGUCAAGACCAAAUUAAAAUUGCAAGUGGGGAAACAAUGAGAAAAUGUUUUGACAUGUGCAGAUACAGAACAAAUUCCAUGGCAUUCAAGAAUGUGUCGUGAUUGAAUGUUGCCACUUGAUGUUUAAGGAUAUUGGUGAUCAAACCCUUUUGCAGCUUGCUACCUGCAAAAGCAGAACUGAACUGACAUACCUGAGACCCAGGGUCUGCCUCCCAGUCCCGAAGCCAUAGGUUCUUUCUGGCCAUUGUAUUUGCUGCCAUACUUUGAAGCCAAGGAAGAAAGCUCUCACCAGCUGUGUGAUGUUGGAGUGCCUGCUGUUUGCCACCCUAGCCAGAACUCCUCAUGAGUAGCUCUCACUGGAAGUGUGAUAUUGGAGCACAUUGCUCCAAGCUCUGAGGCUUUGGAGUGUCUCAUCACCCUGACUGGAGAACUAGAGGGCAGGGCCAGGUGAGCUGUGAUCUUCUCAUGAGCACAGAGGCACGGCGGUUCCUCUCCCUGGAGAUGUUUACUAUGGAAGACUCUACCUACCACUCCAGAGGGAGGCAAGAUUCCUAUGGUGAUGAAUGGCCUCUAGGAGCAUCAGGUGAUUAUGCAGAUUCCAUGAUCCUGACAGGAGCUGAUGAAUAUCUGCCACUGUGAUCAACUGAUCGAGCUUGAAUUUAGUGUCAAUAAUUUCUGCAUCCCGUGGUUUCAAUUAAGAAAAAAGGCAACACUAAAGCAUUAGGUGUCAUUGCAAAGAUUACAAAUAGUAUUAUAGAGAAAGCCAGAGAGGUCAUUUCAUGAGGCAAGGUGAGGUGGUCACCUCAGGAAGGAGGUUAUUGGGGCACCAGCAGAGUGGCAAGAUGUGCCCAGCUGCCAUUGAAGAGGAUCUUUGGAAUGUAUCUGACCAUCACAAGUGACGUAAAGAGGAAAGAUAAGCCUGCUACAGCCUUCUCUCCUCCCUGUCCCCCCCACUGCUUUCAAAGACACAGAGAACAGAAAAAGGAACAGUUCAUCUACAACAUACCUGCUUCAAGAGUAGAAAUAAUGACUGAAGUGCUAGGCUUGCCUUCAAUGUGCGCUGCAUGUAUAUCUCCUGUAAAAGCAGUGACUACUACAGAAUACCUUGUAAAGGGACUUAAACCUGAAACCUCAAGGGUUUUAUUCUCAUCAUUUGUCUUGACAAAUGAAGCUUUAUAAUCAUCAGUAUUCACCUAUACAAAACAAAAAGAGAUGGGGGGGGUCAUAUUUAGCAGAAUGGAAGCAUGUUUACAUGAGUGAUGAGUUAUCAAAUUGAAACCUCAGCAAAACUGCAUUGCAAUCCACAUGGGCAAAAGAAUUUGAAAGUCUGUGUAUGUGUGUGCACGUGUGCGCGCACACACACAGGAAUAAUGCCAGGACAUCAUAUAUAUGAUAUUGCUAUGCUUUUAAUCCCAGCUCAGUGUACACACAGACACACUUUGGACAUUGUUCUUCAACAACAUAAUAUUAAGGAAGGCAGAUUGUAUUAUUGGGGAGAGAGCAAGACUAGCCUGGCAAGAGUGCUGGAAAGGACAGUACUUACACAAAUGAAACAAAAUCCAGUUGCAAUAUAUGUAAAUGAAACAUCCAAGUACAGUUCUCUUCAAGAGAAAGACAGGAACUGACUGAUUGCGCCCUGCCCCCACAAAAAUCUUUAGGCAUUGCUUAAAUUAAUUUUGAGGGUGCUUUCAGAUAACUAAAUAUUGCAUGCUGGCUGUUAUGAAGGCAGUGCAUGAUUGCAAAGUUCCGAUCAAACCAGGUCUGAUUUACUCCAGAUCCACAGAGGUUGGGUUUGGGUCCUUUGGACCUUUCAGAAGGUUGGGGUUGGGUUCAGCUCCACCCCUCCCCCACCAGUGAAAAUCCCCACAGAAGUCUAUGAGGAAACUUUAAAAAAAAUCUCACACCCCUACAAAUAAAAUUACAAAAAUGGCUAGAAAGGGAGCCCUGAAAGUAGCCACAGAAGUAGGCAAGGAUGGCCAGAUUCUGUGUCUUUAAUUACAAACCUGACCAUCCGUUAGUUUUAAAUUUUUUUUAAAGUAACCCAGAAAUUGUACUCGCAGAGAAUUGUGGAAGAAAAGUGAUGUUACAUUAGAGAAUCUCAGGGAAAGUGAGGUUAAAAAAAGAUAAUCUCACAGGAAGCAAUAUAACAACAAAUCUUCUGCUUUCUUUUCACAAUUGUGAGUAAAAUGCCGGGCUAAAAUCUUUUAAGCAAGCAAGCAAGAAAACAAACAGCCAAACAAGCAGAGAGAUGCCAGAAGAUGCUCCCCCCACUGUCAUGAUGGGAUGGGGGAGUGGACUCCUGCUACCAUUUGGAGAUCCAAAAUGCUUCAAACUUACAGGGUUGGACAAGUCUGACCUGAAAUCGGCUUCUCUGAAUCAGGUUAUCUAGAGAAUGUGGAUCAAGGUUGAGCCAUUUCCGACAUAAACCAAAGUGGUCAAUGUUGGGCCAUUCCUGACCUUCCCAAUGACCUUGCACAGCCAUACUAUUUAUAAUCUCACUGGUUAAGAAAUCAUGGACAUAAUUUUGUAGAUUUACUAGGCUUUUAAUUGUGUGAGAAUUGUAGAUUUACUACAACCUCCAUGUGUAGGGGUCUCAGGAGCACAACAUCUGUUUAGACCUAUCUGUUUAGCCUGGCCUUCCAGGGUUUUAAAUGAUUAACUGUUUUACUUUGUUUUAAAUUGUUGCCCUGAUUUCCAGGGUUUUUAGCUGCUUAAUUGGUUUUAUUGUGUUUUAAUAGUUUGAUUUUAAUUGUUAAUUUGUUUUAAUUGUUUUUAUCAUGCUGUAAUCCGCCCUGAGCCAUUUUGGAAGGGUGGUAUACAAAUAUAAUAAAUAAAUAAAUAAAUAAAUAAAUAAAUAGCUGAAAGUCACAAAUUGGAUUUGCAUGUGCUUCAGUGGACAGGCAAUACAGGCAAACCUCGUUAUUCAUGGGGGUUCCUUUCCAUACUAUUGUGAGAGGAGAGCUGGUCUUGUGGUAGCAAGCAUGACUUGUCCCCUUAGCUAGGCAGGGUUCACCCUGGUUGCAUAUGAAUAGGAGCCAAGAAGUGUGAGCACUGUAUGUGUAUGUGUGAGCACUGUAUGUGUAUUCCUUUCAGGGGAUAUUCCUUCAUAUUCCAUAUCCUUUCAGGGGAUGGAGCUCCUCUGGGAAGAGCAGAAGGUUCCCAGUUCCCUCCCUGGCAUCUCCAAGAUAGGGCUGUGAGAGAUUCCUGCCUGCAUUCUUGGAGAAGCUGCUGCCAGUCUGUGAAGACAAUACUGAGCUAGAUAGACCAAUGGUCUGACUCAGUACAUGGCAGCUUCCUAUGUUCCUGUGAGUAAUGAAACCAUGAGUAAUAAGGCAUUGUGCCCAUAGAAAACAGAAGAUUAGGUUCCUGGAUAGGGAAAAAAGGCAAAAACAUGCCAAAAUUGGGGGCGGAGAGACCCCAAACCCACCCGACUACACUUUGUGCCCAGCAAUACCCCCCAAACCUCAAAUGCCCCUCAAACCACAAAAGAGGUGAAAAACAGCAAACAAACAAACAACCCAGUGAAAAAUGGGUUAGGAUUACUGUACCAUGAUCUGCAGGGUCUCCUUGUGCCCAGCAAUGCCGCCUAAGUCAUGAAAUGCCCCUCAAACCACAUAAAAAUCACAGGGGGAAAAGGCUUUUUACCCUAUUGAUUACUUAGUGUCUUUGGAGGUGUUGCAAAUAGAUUAAAGGAUUUUUAUUAUUUGGAUAAGCCAAAUUUGGAUUUAGAACCAAUUGGGGAGAAAUUUAUGAAUAAGCAUUACUCUUGGUUACAUUUUCUUCAGUUUCAGUCCUUUAUUUUACAUCCUGAUAUAGUUAAGCAGGCUAACAGGAAUUUGACUAUAUUUGAGGAAUUAAUGUUAAAGGCUUCAGAAGUUUCUAAGGGAUUUAUUUCUAGAUUAUACGAGAUUCUAAUAAUGCAAACAUCUGAUCCAUUAAUUGGCCUUAAGUUGGCCUGGGAAAAUGACCUAUAACAAACUAUUAGCAACUCACAAUGGAAUGGAAUACUGAAAUGGAAGCCGGUGUUUUCUACCUCUUCUCGAAUUAGAGAGAACUUUGUUAAGCUCUUUCACAGGUGGUAUUUGACCCCUUCUAGAUUAUCCCACAUUAAUAAGAGUUUGUCCCUGCUAUACUGGAAUGGCUGUGGAAAUAGGGGAACAUACUUCCAUCUAUGGUGGUCUUGUCUCAGUAUUUUCUGCUUUUGGACAGAGGUAUUUUUAGAAAUGGGUAAAAUUACACAACAGAGGUUAGAUAUAAGAUCAGAGCUGGCUCUGUUAAAUGUAUUUUUGGGAGCUAAUUUGGCAUUAUUAUCCAAGGAUCUUAUAGUUUGUAUGUUAACUGUGGCUAGAUUAUCCAUUGCACAAUACUGGAAGCAUAAAACCAUGUCACUGACAUCUUGGUAUCAGUCUACGUGGCAUAUUGCCAUAUCUGAAAAAUUUUAUUCGUCUUCAAGCAGGUCAAGCUAAUUCUAAUGAUUUUUUCAUGAUAUUGUCAGAUUUUAUUCUGUUCACAAAUCAAGAUAA